AAAAAAAAAACGCCUCACACGGUUUUAGGUGCUAUUAAUACAGUAAGAAACAAAUAAACAAAGCUCAUUGCCCUUGAUGGACUUUAAAAAAUGAUCCAAGUAUAUGCUGUCUGUAAAAGAUACACCCUAGACUCAAAGACACAAAUAAGCAAAUCAAAGGAUGAAAAAGAUACACUAUAUGAACACUAGCCAAAGAGGUCUGGAAUGGCUACACUAAUAGCAGACAAAACAGACUUUAAGGCUGGGGUCAGUGGCUCGCGCUUGUAAUCCCAGCAUGUUGGGAGCCCGAGGCAGGCGGGUCACCUGAGGUCAUCAGGAGUUCAAGACCAGCCUGGCCAACAUGGUGAAACCCCGUCUCUACUAAAAAUACAAAAAAAAAUUAGCCAGGUGUGGUGGCAUGCACCUGUAAUCCCAGCUACUCAGGAGGCUGAGGCAGGAGAAUCGCUUGAACCUGGGAGUCAGAUGUUGCAGUGAGCUGAGAUCGUGCCACUGCACUCCAGCCCAGGUAACAGAGCAAGACUCCAUCUCAAAAAAAAAAAAAAAAAAAAAAGACUUUAAGACAAAAGUAGUUACUAGGGCAAAUAAGGACAUUUUACGAUGAUAAAAGGAUCAAUUCAUCAAGAAGAUAUGGCAAUUAUAAACACUUAGGCACCUAAUAACAGAGUUCUGAAAUACCUGAGGCAAAAAACUGAGAAAAUAUAGGACAAAAAUAGAUUUACCAAUAAAAGUGGGAGAUGUGAUUACCCACUUUCAAUAAUGAAUAGAACAACCAGGCAGAAGAUCAAAGAAGCAAAGAAAUAGGAACUGGAAGAGCUUUGCAAACCACCUAAAACUCUCUACCCAACAAUACCAGAACACACAUUCUUCUCAAGUACACAUUCUCAGGAGAGGCCAUACAUUAACACAUAAAGAAGUCUCCAUAAUUUUUAAAAGAUUAAAAUGCACAGUAUGUUAUCCAACCACAUGGAGGUCAAGGCUACAGUGAGCCCUGAUUGCACCAUUGCACUCUGGUCUGGGUGACAGAGCAAGACCUUGUCUCAGAGAAAGAAAAAAAAAUGAAAAGGUGGCCACAUAAUAGAAAAAUAUAAUUGCAAAUUAUAUAUCUGGUAAGGGACUUGUAUCCAGUAUGUAUAAAGAAUUCUUAUAACUUCACAAUAAAAGACAAUCCAUUUAAAACAUAGGUAGAGGACUUGAAUAGAGAUUUCUCCGAAGAAGACAUACAAAUGGCUAAUAAGCACAUGAGAAGAUACUCAGCUAGUCUGGCCAACAUGGUGAAACC
rnacentral:lncRNA from 10 species